GCGGAAGUGGCUCAGUGGUAGAGCAUCGCCUUGCCAAGGCGAGGGUCGCGAGUUCGAGUCUCGUCUUCCGCUCCA
rnacentral:tRNA from 14 species